UAUGGCUUCAAGCUCACGCAUUGAGCUGCCUACCUACAAGAUGGAGCAUACGGUCAUCAUUGAACCUUGCUGUAUAAGCUUGGGUACGCUUGACCAGAGAGUGUUUCAUUAGCCCAUGAGUUCAUCUGUGAAAUUCCAGCAAAAUGGAUUCCAUCUGUUGACAAUAUCCUGAGUCCCUUAAAACAAGUCCUCAAACACAGAUAGUGGAUCAUCUACCUCACUGCCAUCAAGCCAAAGCCAACUAAGGAUACGGAAGCACAAAAUAAUAGGUUCGUGAUUCAACCUGUUUCCAGAGAUUCCCAGUUGCUUGCAGAAAGGUGUCCAACCCUUUAGCGUGACAUUUUCCAUGGAAUUAAGGCAAUAAAUAACACCUGAAAAGAGAAAACAAGAAAGCACAGCAAGGAGUUUGCAGGGGAUCGGAAGUGACGCCUCUUCAUUUGAGCUAUAAGGAUGGUGAGGCUGCAGAAGCUGGCUUAUCUAUAUGAAUCUGUAGUCACAAAGAGGUGGAGUCUGAUU